GACGAACGCUGGCGGCGUGCCUAAUACAUGCAAGUCGAACGCACAGUUUAUACCGUAGCUUGCUGCACCAUAGACUGUGAGUUGCGAACGGGUGAGUAACGCGUAGGUAACCUGCCUGGUAGCGGGAGAUAACUAUUGGAAACGAUAGCUAAUACCGCAUAAUAUUAAUUAUUGCAUGAUAAUUAAUUGAAAGGUGCAAUUGCACCACUACCAGAUGGACCUGCGUUGGAUUAGCUAGUAGGCGAGGUAACGGCGCACCUAGGCGACGAUACAUAGCCGACCGGCUAGGGUGGGCGGCCACACUGGGAGGGAGACACGGCCCAGAGUCCCUGGGGUGGCAGCAGUAGGGCAUCUUCGGCAAGGGGCGGAAGUCUGACCGAGCAACGCCGCGGGAGGGAAGAAGGUUGUCGGAUCGUGAAGCUCGGUUGUAAGGGAAGAACGGGUUUGAGCGUGGAAAGUUCACACUGUGACGGUAACUUAUCAGAAAGCGACGGCUAACUACGUG
rnacentral:rRNA from 1 species